GCCUGAGUGGCUCAGUCGGUUGAGCGUCUGACUUCGGCUCAGGUCAUGAUCUCGCGGUCUGUGAGUUCGAGCCCCGUGUCGGGCU
rnacentral:tRNA from 1 species